CUGCUGCCUUCCGUAGGAGUCUGGGCCGUGUCUCAGUCCCAAUGUGGCCGAUCAACCUCUCAGUUCGGCUACGCAUCAUUGCCUUGGUAAGCCUUUACCCCACCAACUAGCUAAUGCGUCGCGGGCCCAUCCAAAAGCGGUAGCAUAGCCACCUUUUACAUAGUUACCAUGCGGUAACUAUGGUUAUGCGGUAUUAGCACCUGUUUCCAAGUGUUAUCCCCCUCUUUUGGGCAGGUUGCCCACGUGUUACUCACCCGUUCG
rnacentral:rRNA from 1 species